AGAGUUUGAUCCUGGCUCAGAAUCAACGCUGGCGGCGUGCCUAACACAUGCAAGUCGAACGAGAAAGUGGAGCAAUCCAUGAGUAAAGUGGCGCACGGGUGAGUAACACGUGACUAACCUACCCUUGAGUGGGGAAUAACCUGGAGAAAUCUAGGCUAAUACCGCAUAACACCUACGGGUCAAAGGAGCAAUUCGCUUAAGGAGGGGGUCGCGGCAGAUUAGCUAGUUGGCGGGGUAAUGGCCCACCAAGGCGGUGAUCUGUAUCCGGCCUGAGAGGGCGCACGGACACACUGGAACUGAAACACGGUCCAGACUCCUACGGGAGGCAGCAGUGGGGAAUUUUGCGCAAUGGGGGAAACCCUGACGCAGCAACGCCGCGUGGAGGAUGAAGUCCCUUGGGACGUAAACUCCUUUCGAUCGGGAAGAUUAUGACGGUACCGAGAGAAGAAGCCCCGGCUAACUUCGUGCCAGCAGCCGCGGUAAUACGAGGGGGGCGAGCGUUGUUCGGAAUUAUUGGGCGUAAAGGGUGCGUAGGCGGUUCGGUAAGUCUUAUGUGAAAUCUUCGGGCUCAACUCGAAGUCUGCAUGAGAAACUGCCGGGCUUGAGUGUGGGAGAGGUGAGUGGAAUUUCCGGUGUAGCGGUGAAAUGCGUAGAUAUCGGAAGGAACACCUGUGGCGAAAGCGGCUCACUGGACCACAACUGACGCUGAUGCACGAAAGCUAGGGGAGCAAACAGGAUUAGAUACCCCAGUAGUCC
rnacentral:rRNA from 1 species